GAUUAUUGUGAGGCAAAGUGUGCCUCUGAAUUUGUCAGGGACUGGUACAUCAAAGCACAGCUCUGGUAGCAAGUAUUCCUAGUUUCAGACCUCUUAGGUAAAGACAGUAACACACAUAUGAAAAAAAGCAAACCUGGGCCCUUUAGUUAAAAAUGUGGGGAGAGGAGGUGACCCAGGCAGUCUUAAGUGGUUGGCUGCAAUAGUAUGCCAAGCUCUCAGGAAAAUUUUGAAUGAAAGGCAAAUAGAGGUUGGGAGGUUGAUAAAAUGAAACAUGACUUUGCAAUGUUGGAUUGUGUCAGCCCAACACACUCAUUCAGAAACUAUUUCCUACACAAAGGAAACAUGUUCCCUUCCUGGGAAUUUCAAUUAAGCCUUUUCAUGGAGUCUUGUGGGAUGCAGUGAGGAGGAAGCUGAGAGAAACAGGGAUUAGGUGUGCAUGGAACUGGCUAAAAGGGAGAGAGCACUGCUGGGUGUUAACAAACAUGGUGAGGAAGGAAUUCAUGAGCUGGGUGCUGUAAUGGCAGCAAGAAUGCUGUAUGGAAAUAACUGUGGAAGGAAGGGUGCUGGUGUCUAUGGCAGAUGUGCUGCUAAGGUGAUCUUAGAGCAGUCUGGUGAGGUAUAUCCAGCAGAAAAGGGAGAGUCUUAUUGCUCUAAGUCAAAGAUAUUUGUGAGAUUUCACUCCAGUUACAUAUGCUUCUGAUUGCUCCAUGUCAAACACAGAGCAAUGAACUUUCAAACAUGAACUUUAACUGGAGGGUGCCUGCAGUGGUCAGAGGGAUGGAGGGCUUUGUGCUGGAAGGGAAGUGGGAAGUGGAUACUGUGCUUAGUCUAGUGAAAGAAAGGCUCAGAGGGGACCAAGACUGCUUCUUAUUGGCAGUAUAAGUACCAAGAGGAUGCCAACAAACUGAUGGCACUAAUCUAGCCUUGAAUAGAAAUGUGUCCUUCAAGAAGGAAAGUGCUUCCUAACCAUGGAACAAAUUUUCUAACCAGAAAAGUGUUUUACAGUGGGACUGGUCAAGCACUGCCAGCAGUGCCCAGAGGCUGCUGAAUCUCCAUCCUCAGAGGUGUGUGAAACUUGACUGGGUAUGUCAAUGACCUACCUGAAUGACCCCAUGCUCCAUUGGAACAGAAAAGCUCUCAGAUACCUUCCACACCACAUGAGUAAAAAGCAAAAGGCCCUAAUAUAGGUUCCACAAGAUUCAAAGUUUUUUUACUGAAGAACAGAGAGUGGCCAAGUAAUGAAAAAAAGAGGUGAUGAGAACCGAAAAAAAAUCUGAUUUUUCAACAAAAAAGAGUGCAGCUGAGGCAGAAUUCAGGUAUGGAAAAUGAGUGGGUGGAAAAGCAGAAUUAUGAUAUAGGAAAAGAGUGGAGGGAAAAGGAAAUAAUCAAAGGAGAAUUAAAGGGACAGAAGGAGGUUGGGAGAUGCCCAAAUCUACUAAAGAGUUCUGAAAAAUUGUAUUUCCUUGGUAGGUUCAAUAGUUCAGCCUCUCCUAAAUAAUUUAGAAAUUGAAAUGAAGUGGGGAAGCAAAUUGGCCUGGCCUUUAUUUUUGCAUUGUGGAAGUGUAGAGCUUGCAAAAGCUGGGGCUGUAGCCUAGACAGAGUUAGCAACAACAUUUGACUCGGCUCUCUCUCCUUAACUCAUCUUCCCCAGAAAUGCUAUAUAAGCUGGUAGGACCAUGUCUAGGAGAAAGAGGCAAUUGUUUCUUCAGGCCCAUCCUUCUCUUGGACCAGCAGGAAAAAUACAUGUCUUCUUUGUAACUCAGUUUUCUACCAGUGUCGUUCCACUGAAAUAAAUUCAGGCAAUUUGGCUUUUAGUCCAUUAAACAAAUCAUUAACACAGAAACACAUGUGCAAGGACUGUUUUGAUACUUUUCUGAACUAAAUGGCAAUAUUGUCAUUGGAGGUCCAGGAAAUUUUUUUAAUUACUGUUUUUUUAACCUUGAAGUAGCAGCCAAAAAACAAACAUACAAGGGGAAACAAGUAAUUUAAAAGAUAUUUUCAUGUGCAAGGCUAUCUUAUUCACUGCAUUGUUUUGUAUCUGAAAGGACAAAUUUCUUAUUCUUUUGGUAAUUGGAUUGAGCCACAACUGUUUUUUCUAACGGUAAAGAGGUACUAAGGCUCAGCUUACCCUAAACUCUGGACCCAAAAUAUAAGUAUAAACCUUCAUUGAGUCAUGAUGCAAUUCUCCUUGUACAGGCAAGCAAGUCUUGGCUUCUGUGAGGUGCAGGACAACUGUACAUGCAAGAUAUAUAUGUUUCAUAGCUUUUCUCUGAUUUUACAUUGUUUCAGCCUGCUUUGGGAGCUCUGCAUGCAUCACCUGUGUGUACAGAUCAUGUACAGCAGCUGCUUGCUGAGGUGGCAGAUGCCCUGCUCUCCCAGCACAGCCCUGGGCAGGGACAAUGUCUGAGAAUUGAAACAAAAACCUCCCAGGGGAAAAAAAGGACAUUUCUAAUUGUUUGGAAGUUUCCUGUAUUCAUUGCCCAGAGGCAGACAACAGUGGAUGGGCAGGUUCUCCCCAGUGACUCAAGGAUUGCAUCGCUCAUUUGCUGAAGGAAGAUGUGUCACUCUGGGGAAAGCAUCACGUCAUUCUGGGGAAAACAUCACCCACUUUUGAAUGUAUUGCCUGGCACCCAAGGAUGUGACCACAGAGGAAUGUGAUGGCUUGGUAAGAGAGGUCAAGUGAAAACUGAAACAUGUCUGUGCUUGUAUGGAGGAGGGAUUCCCUGAGUUUCUUUCACUUCUCUUAUACUCAAGUUUCUCUUUUCCAUUAUAGUCAAAAAGGACUAACUGUCUCAAAAACAGUAACCUUAAUCAGCUGCAGAUAAGUGCCUCUGACAAUGUCUUUAUAUUACACGUUUGCUGUCAGGUUACACUGUCUUUCUCACCACAGCUAUAGUGAGUAGGAUUGAUACUCUGAAUGACUGAAAAUUUGCUCUGCACCCUCUUCUGAACGCUCUGGUUUGUGAGAAUCACCUCUUGAAUACAUCCUUGCUACUAUGCCUUCUAAUAUCUCCUUUCAGCUUUAGGAGCACUCAGUCACUCAGUUCUUUGGAUCUAUCUCCUGCAGUGUGGUUUCUGUGCCUAUCUUCCAUUUCAGAUCCCGAAGACUUUCCCUUACCUGAUCCACCUUUUCUGGUGGACAAUCUGACUGUGGCUUGUCUGUCUCAGUGGAGAUGUCACUUGAAGGCAGUGCUACUGCAGCAUGCCCAAAAAACGAUGAAAGGAAUGCUGCACUAUCUCCAGGAUGCCCAGGAGUUCUCUGCAGAAGCUUGAAUCCAGUGCUGUACCAGUGCCUUGUGAAGACCAAUGCCACCUCAGGAGAGGAAAAAGUGAAUUGGAAUGUCUGUCCCUUGACCAGAAACCAGAAGUACCCACUGAGAAUGAAACAGAAAAAAAUAAAAAGGCUUGCAGCUGGCUAAAAUGCUGAAGGCUCUCAUUGUAUUUCCAGGGAAGUCAGUAAAGAGAAAAAAGGGAAUAUUAUCUCCUUAAAUCACUUCCCAAUUUCCUAAUCUCUGUGAUCUGAUUUUCCACAGGCUGAAGAUGACUCACCAAAUAACUCACCCAAAGGUGUUCAGUGCCUCUUGAGCGCUGUGGCUGGAGAAUAUAACAUCAAGCCUGCUAAAGGGAAAACUCCAAGGGAAUGCAGCAGUGCGUGCUCCCAGACCGAGGGCAAGAGCCAUUGCUCACAGUUUUCCAGGAUUGUGCAGAGUCCUCUUCCUUUUUCUGUGAAGGAGACAUGAUGAACUUCCCUGGUUGAGGAAACAGUGAUGCCUGUCUGACUGUGGCUGCUAGCUGUAGGGAUAUUACAAUAAUUAAUCAAACUGGCAAUCUCCAAUGGGUUAUCUACAGGUGGUCCCUUCAUCGUACAGGCAGGGAAUUGAAAAUGCAAGCUCUUUUGUCCAAAGACACAAAGUGAAUUAGUAUCAAAGCCCACAUGAAAAUUCUUGAGGCCAAAUGCUAAUUUCAAAUGCCCACAUUACCAGUAAGAUGUAUCAUCAAAAAUAUUUAACUGAUAUUUUGUAGGCAUAUGUCUUUAUUGAUAAUUCAAACUAUGUGACAAUUUAAAUUCCUGUGUCUGAUGUUAGAAUUGAAGGUAAGAAAACCUUAUGUUUAAUCAUAAAAUGCAAUGACCAAUGAUCCUGAAGGGGAAUUCACUACCUGUUUUCUAGAGAUGGCAUUACAAUGACCAGGGUUUCUUAAAGGAAUAGCUAUACCCUUGAUGAAUCUGCUGAAUGCAAAUAUGCAGAUUUUUCUGUGGUAGCAUAGGCUAAAAAAGACCCCAGACAUCUCUAAUCAGAAAAUCAGCUGAGCACAUUGCAAUUACAUAGCAGGCUUUUCUCAGCAUCACCCAGAGCAGGACUCAUUAAAAUUGGAGUCUUUACAAAAACA